rnacentral:rRNA from 1 species
CCUACGGGAGGCAGCAGUAGGGAAUCUUCCGCAAUGGACGAAAGUCUGACGGAGCAACGCCGCGUGAACGAUGAAGGCCUUCGGGUCGUAAAGUUCUGUUGUUAGGGAAGAACAAGUGCUAGUUAAAUAAGCUGGCACCUUGACGGUACCUAACCAGAAAGCCACGGCUAACUACGUGCCAGCAGCCGCGGUAAUACGUAGGUGGCAAGCGUUGUCCGGAAUUAUUGGGCGUAAAGCGCGCGCAGGCGGUUUCUUAAGUCUGAUGUGAAAGCCCCCGGCUCAACCGGGGAGGGUCAUUGGAAACUGGGAAACUUGAGUGCAGAAGAGGAAAGUGGAAUUCCAAGUGUAGCGGUGAAAUGCGUAGAGAUUUGGAGGAACACCAGUGGCGAAGGCGACUUUCUGGUCUGUAACUGACGCUGAGGCGCGAAAGCGUGGGGAGCAAACAGGAUUAGAUACCCUGGUAGUCCACGCUGUAAACGAUGAGUGCUAAGUGUUAGAGGGUUUCCGCCCUUUAGUGCUGAAGUUAACGCAUUAAGCACUCCGCCUGGGGAUACGGUCGCAAGACUGAAACUCAAAGNUAGNGGCGNGNGAGAGCGACGACGACGACGACGGAGGAGGAG